rnacentral:rRNA from 1 species
UACAGAGGGUGCAAGCGUUGUUCGGAAUUAUUGGGCGUAAAGGGCGCGUAGGCGGUGCGGUAAGUCUGCAGUGAAAUCUCUGGGCUCAACUCAGAGUCUGCUGUAGAAACUGCCGUGCUUGAGUGUGGGAGAGGUGAGUGGAAUUCCUGGUGUAGCGGUGAAAUGCGCAGAUAUCAGGAGGAACACCAAUGGCGAAGGCAGCUCGCUGGGACGGUACUGACGCUGAGACGCGAAAGCGUGGGGAGCAAACAGG